rnacentral:rRNA from 1 species
CCUACGGGUGGCAGCAGUGAGGAAUAUUGGUCAAUGGACGAGAGUCUGAACCAGCCAAGUAGCGUGAAGGAUGACUGCCCUAUGGGUUGUAAACUUCUUUUAUAGAGGAAUCAAAUGUUCCACGUGUGUGAUUUUGUAUGUACCAUAUGAAUAAGGAUCGGCUAACUCCGGUCCAUCAGCCGCGGUAAUACGGAGGAUCCUAGCGUUAUACGGCUUUAUUGGGGUUUAAGGGAGCGGAGGUGGGUUGUUAAGUCAGUUGUGAAAGUUUGCGGCUCAACCGUAAAAUUGCAAUUGAAACUGGCAGUCUUGAGUACAGUAGAGGUAGGCGGAAUUCGUGGUGUAGCGGUGAAAUGCUUAGAUAUCACGAAGAACUCCGAUUGCGAAGGCAGCUCACUGGACUGCAACUGACACUGAGGCUCGAAAGUGUGGGUAUCAAACAGGAUUAGAUACCCUGGUAGUC